ACCUAAAGCCCCGUCCUGUGGACCAACGCCCCCUGUGAGCUGCCCGCGCCCAUCCUCCGGCUGCUCCCCUGUCGUCCUCCGGCUGCCCAUCCUCGAAGCCGGCGCCCCAUCCUCCGACCCGAGCAAAUUGGCAUGCAAACAGAUCCUGGAGGCCGUGCAAAUCCAAAAACUCAGGAUAGCGAGGUACCACUUUUUGAGCAUAGAUGCCAACUGCAAAUAGAAGUAGUUGUGAUCCUUUUCAAAACUUGCAGAUCACAAUAUUGCUCAUUAUAUCUUGCUAAGGGCUUUUCUUCUUCAGCCAAAUUCUGGCACAAAAGCGUGGGGCAGCUGCAGCCAAUGCAGAGAAAUGGUGAG